rnacentral:rRNA from 1 species
UAAAGAUUCAUCGCUGAUAGAUAGGCAUGCGUUCCAUUAGGCAGUCGGCGGGGUAACGGCCCACCAAACCGACGAUGGAUAGGGGUUCUGAGAGGAAGGUCCCCCACAUUGGUACUGAGACACGGACCAAACUCCUACGGGAGGCAGCAGUGAGGAAUAUUGGUCAAUGGGCGUAAGCCUGAACCAGCCAAGUCGCGUGAGGGAUGAAGGUUCUAUGGAUCGUAAACCUCUUUUAUAAGGGAAUAAAGUGCGGGACGUGUCCCGUUUUGUAUGUACCUUAUGAAUAAGGAUCGGCUAACUCCGUGCCAGCAGCCGCGGUAAUACGGAGGAUCCGAGCGUUAUCCGGAUUUAUUGGGUUUAAAGGGUGCGUAGGCGGCCUUUUAAGUCAGCGGUGAAAGUCUGUGGCUCAACCAUAGAAUUGCCGUUGAAACUGGGAGGCUUGAGUAUGUUUGAGGCAGGCGGAAUGCGUGGUGUAGCGGUGAAAUGCUUAGAUAUCACGCAGAACCCCGAUUGCGAAGGCAGCCUGCCAAGCCAUGACUGACGCUGAUGCACGAAAGCGUGGGGAUCAAACAGGAUUAGAUACCCUGGUAGUCCACGCAGUAAACGAUGAUCACUAGCUGUUUGCGAUACAGUGUAA